rnacentral:rRNA from 1 species
UGAGGAAUAUUGGUCAAUGGGCGGGAGCCUGAACCAGCCAAGUCGCGUGAGGGAAGACGGUCCUAUGGAUUGUAAACCUCUUUUGUCGGGGAGCAAAGAGGCCACGUGUGGUCAAAAGCGAGAGUACCCGAAGAAAAAGCAUCGGCUAACUCCGUGCCAGCAGCCGCGGUAAUACGGAGGAUGCGAGCGUUAUCCGGAUUUAUUGGGUUUAAAGGGUGCGUAGGCGGGACGGUAAGUCAGCGGUAAAAAUGCGGAGCUCAACUCCGUCGAGCCGUUGAAACUGCCGUUCUUGAGUGAGCGAGAAGUAUGCGGAAUGCGUGGUGUAGCGCUGAAAUGCAUAGAUAUCACGCAGAACUCCGAUUGCGAAGGCGGCAUACCGGCGCUCAACUGACGCUGAAGCACGAAGGCGUGGGUAUCGAACAGGAUUAGAUACC